rnacentral:pre_miRNA from 1 species
UCUUGUAGGUCGUGACUUGUGCCCAAUAUUUUAUUUAAUCUUGCAUGAAAUAUUGCACUUGUCCCGGCCUACUGGAUGGGUUCAAAUCU